rnacentral:misc_RNA from 1 species
AAAGUCGUAACAAGGUUUCCGUAGGUGAACCUGCGGAAGGAUCAUUACCAAAAGAAAAAAAAACCCCUUGGGCCGGCUUGGGACGCGUGUCGGUUUCGGACGGGGACUCGUUCCCCCGACGGCCCGGCCGCGGCCUCUCGCUGCACCCAUCCCACACCUUGUGAACCCAAUGUAUCGUCCUUGGGGGGUUUCGGCCCCCCAAACAAAACCUUUAUGAAACACCUUUUCGACAACCAAUUUGAUGGAAACUUUUUUUAUUGAUUUAAAAAAUCGACAACAACUUUUAACGGUGGAUCUCUUGGCUCGU